UGUUCUUUGAACCCGUUCACUGCAAUGACAAUAAAACUAUAUUCCAUAUACUGUACAUUCAUUCACUGACCUUCUUUACAGCAAAAUGACAUCCAUGAAUGAGUAACACAACAGUUUUGUAAUAUGUUAUUAAUUAAAUCAGUCAUUAUUAACAUACUGAGAUGAAGAAAAUCUUAUUUUCAAUAAGGUUGAAAGUGUUUCUCAAAAUUCUUCUUUGUACUUUGUAAGCACUAUUAAUUUAAACAGCCUCUUAAACUGGAUCAUAUCAGUACAAUGUUUAAUUUACCUAAUCCAUCCCAUAAUUUAACUCCACAUACUGAUAGAAUUUCCCCGUCAACAAGGUCGCUCUGUGUACACUUCCCCAUGACCUUAUAUGGCAAUGUGAAGGGAGUGCUGCCAUGGCAACCCCCGCCAGAUCUCGGAUUACCGCCUUCGCCUUUGGGAGAGUGAACCCCAUUCGUCGCCAUCUUUGUUUUCUUCCUUCCACAUUAUGGCAUCGAUUCUUCCGUCAAUUCAACCCGCAAAAUGUACGUCCGUCCCGGAUAUGGUCACGCCACUGUCGCCUGGGUGUUAAAACGCCUCGCUUUGAGUGUGGAAACUUCGAGAAUGAAGAGUUUCCCCCUCCCCCCCACCCCUCGUUGUCGUCGAAUGAGAGCAAGAGAGAAAGAGAGAGAGAGAGAGAAAGAAGACCUCACCCAGUUAUGGCGCAGCAACACUUAUUUGAAGCUCUGUCUUUUGUGUGUGUGACGAGAAGCCAUUUUGAAAGCCUGCAGAACUCUCUUAAACAAAAAAAAAACAGUCAACAACUAAUGGCUUUUGGACAAAACGUGGAGGGGAAGCAGUGAAUAGUACCAAGAUUUCUCCCCCAAAUCCCUUAAAACUCACAUUUAAAGGCUUGGAUUACAUAUUUUGAAUUAUGGGGGAGAGAGAGAAGCUUUGCAUAUUGCCCCAAAAACAGAUGAUGGUGGUUGAAGAUGCCGACUGAGAGGAUGACCUCCCCAAUCUCUUAUUAAUGGCAUUAUUAGAGGAUCCCAAAGAUGGAAGAUGGAAUACUGUCCCCUAUGCAUUUUAAGGCCUGUUUUACUGCAUUUCACCCAAGUGCUGAGGUAAAUAUUUGGCUAUAGUCCCUUUUUUAUUUUUGGCUUUGGAAGGUUUCUACUUCUGCAUGGAACCCACCCCACACCCCCCACCAGUUAGACAGGUUUGGGAAAUUAAAUCUGACCUUGAAGGGAGUUCACGUCGACUACAAUUUGGUUCUUUAUAAAUGGCAACCCAAAUCCGGCACCCAGAGCUGUUCUCUCUGGAAAAAUCCAUCAGCUUUCUAUGGGAGAAAAAUGUUCAAAAAGCCAUUAUUCAAAGCAUCAAAUGCAAGGGAAUAUAAGGAGAGUAUUUUCAAAUGAUGACAGGCCACCAAUAAAUGUUGUAUUUAUAAGAACAAUUAAUAUAUUUUUUCUUUAAAAAAGGACAUAUGGCGUAGCUUAGUUGAUACAUUGACAAAACAAGUUUAAUAAACAUGCUGCAAAUAUUAUAGAAGAGUUGGACUUACUCAUUGCUACUCAUACAAGGCCCAUAGGUGUAAAACUGACUUACAUUUAAACAUACAACUGUGGUUUUUUUUUACCCUCACUUCCUCAAAAGAGCUGUUUAUUCACAUUUUUAAUUUUUUUCACACCCUCUCUAUUCAAAUAAUAUUGUAUAUGAGUGUGCCCGUGACCAAGUUAGGACAAAGAUGGAUU